UCAUUAGAGGUUCAAGACCCCUAGACAAAAAGUGACGACACUCUUCAACUUGAAAGAAACUCACACUUUCUUCUCUCCUCUACUCUUAACUUGACUUAACCUUUCCAAACGCAGCUAGGGUUUCAUAAUCAUACUCCAUUAUCAUCUAAAUCCCCACUGAAAUUUCAUUCUCAGAGCUUGAACCCGAAUUGUUCACUUAUUCACUCAACUCGCGAAUCUAAUUCAAUGUAUACAAAACAGGUGAUUUUACGUAUUUUCUGUCUCUCUUUCAUUUGAUAAAUUUUUAUUUCAUUUGAGUAACAACAUACACUAAACUUGCAAUUAUCUCUUGGAAAUGAGUGUUUCAACCGACAUCAGCCAAGGGAGCAUGAAUUUGCAGAGGCAUUUUUCAUGGUUUCUCUCAGGCUGAAGGUGUAAAGGUUCCUGUAACUGUUGGAAAGUAUAUGGUUAUGGUCUUCACACAUGGAAUUCAGAAGGAAGUAAUAUCUCUUGUCACUGAACUUUAUGUCAUGUCUAAAGAGCAUCAUUGUAACUGUUGAAGAGCUGAUGUUAUUGUUGAGGAUGAUUUUUAUUUAUUCAUAUCUGUCAACUGUGAUUUCCUUGAUUAAACAGAUAAUCUUAUUUUAGCUGGAAAUGAUUUUGAAGAAAUCACAUUAAUCAAAAGCUUUCUUUGUAGCUGGUUCAAGAUUGAAGACCUGGGAUAAUUGAAAUAUUACGUUGGAUUGGAGAUUUCCAGGUCUCAAACUGACACAAUACUACUUGCUUCCAAAUCAGCCUCCACACGAAUACAGAGGGGCACCAAAUUGCCUUAGGAAUCAGGCACACUUCCGACAGAUCCUGAAUCAUACAGAAGACUAGUUGAUAAACUGAUUUACCUAACCAACACAAGGUAAAAUAUUUCCUAUUCAGUGCAGCAGCUGUGCAAGCUUAUGAGCAAACGCGCUACCCUUCGUUGUGAAGCCACAACAAGAGUCCUUGGAUAUAUCAAAAUUUCUCUAGCAUUAGGGCUAUUCUUUCCUUCAAAUUCACACCUACAGCUGAAAGGAUUUUGUGAUUUAGAUUGAGCAACAAGCCCAGACAACAGAAAAUCCAUCAGUGGGAGUGACAAUUUCCAAAUCAUCAUGAGACAAAUACCGUGUCAUGACAUCCACAAUCUGCGAAUUGCAGUGGCUCGCUUAUCUUCUCAAUGACUUCAAAGUCCUUCUGUUCUAUACCGUGAAGUGACAGCCAAUCAGCUCGCCGCAUGGCCAAUUUAAUGAAAGACAGAGCACAUUGAAUUAGACUGCCGCAUCGUUUGAGAAAAGCUACCACAAAACUUGUUUCAUUUACUUGUUUCUUCUUCACUGCAUUUAGCAGAUUGCGUCACCAAACCCCUUUCCAUACUUGUGUAACCAAAUAGGACCAAAGAACAUUUACUCUCCAGCUUGAGUGAAUGUAUUGUUAUUCAGCCUCUCAGAUAUAAUGGCCUGAAUAUAAGUUAUACAAACGUAUUCACUCCUUAAGUAAUUCAUUACUCAUUUUUUACAUCAAUGGAAAUUUUGUAUGUUCAGUAA